rnacentral:rRNA from 2 species
AAUUGACGCUGGCGGCAGGCUAACACAUGCAAGUCGAGCGGAUGAGUGGAGCUUGCUCCAUGAUUCAGCGGCGGACGGGUGAGUAAUGCCUAGGAAUCUGCCUGGUAGUGGGGGACAACGUUUCGAAAGGAACGCUAAUACCGCAUACGUCCUACGGGAGAAAGUGGGGGAUCUUCGGACCUCACGCUAUCAGAUGAGCCUAGGUCGGAUUAGCUAGUUGGCGAGGUAAAGGCUCACCAAGGCGACGAUCCGUAACUGGUCUGAGAGGAUGAUCAGUCACACUGGAACUGAGACACGGUCCAGACUCCUACGGGAGGCAGCAGUGGGGAAUAUUGGACAAUGGGCGAAAGCCUGAUCCAGCCAUGCCGCGUGUGUGAAGAAGGUCUUCGGAUUGUNAAGCACUUNAAGUUGGGAGGAAGGGCAGUGAGUUAAUACCUUGCUGUUUUGACGUUACCGACAGAAUAAGCACCGGCUAACUUCGUGCCAGCAGCCGCGGUAAUACGGAAGGGUUGCAAAGNCGUUUCAAGUGCGCGAAUUAACUAGGUGACGGUUACNAGACCGCGCGCAGUGUGGUAUCGAUAAACGUUNGGAAUGUGAAUAGCCCAAGAGGCAUCAANACUGCGAACUGCAAUCCAAAAGCAUGGACAGAAGCCUNACAGGUAUUGGCANAGGGGUGGAACACANUACCCAUGUGUAAGCGNG